UAGGGAAUAUUGCAAAAUGGGCGAAAGCCCGAUGCAGCAACGCCGCGUGGGCGAUGAAGGCCUUCGGGUCGUAAAGCCCUUUUUGAGGGGAUGAGGAAGGACAGUACCCUCAGAAUAAGCCUCGGCUAACUACGUGCCAGCAGCCGCGGUAAAACGUAGGAGGCGAGCGUUAUCCGGAUUUACUGGGCGUAAAGCGCGUGCAGGCGGAUUGGAGAGUUGGAUGUGAAAGCUCCCGGCUUAACUGGGAGAGGUCGUUCAAUACUUCCAGUCUUGAGUGCAGUAAAGGGAAGUGGAAUUCCGGGUGUAGUGGUGAAAUGCGUAGAUAUCCGGAGGAACACCAGUGGCGAAAGCGGCUUCCUGGACUGUAACUGACGCUCAGACGCGAAAGCUAGGGUAGCAAACG
rnacentral:rRNA from 1 species